CUACAUGGCCAUGCCCAGACAAAAAUUUCCCUGUUUCUCUAGUGACACAACCCCUCCAUCUCUUUUAAUUUUUUUUCUCCCUCCAUCUAAAAAAAAUCACAUAUUUCUUGUGUUGCAAAAGUUUAUUCUUUGUUAAUUUUUUUCACCAUUUACAAUAACAUUCAUCAUCCUAGUAAAUUGAUUGUUGGAGCUGAUUUUCAUUGUUUCAAAUAUAAAAUUGAACCCAAUUUGUUUUAAUGGUGGAAAAUAGACUAUGACUUUUUAUAAGGGAAAGUCUAAUACUAGUUGGUUGUAUACAAUAUGAUUUUGAAUCUGUUAUGAGGUUAUUGAAUUUGGAUUAUUAUUUUUGCUAUAAAUAAAAAGCAGAAAUUGAUUUUUGUGUGUGUGUGUUCUUGAUGCAUUAAACUGUUGGCAAUGACUGGAGAACAAUUUUUUAUGUGGAUGUUGUUCAGGUUUUGGAGCUUGACAAUUGCAGCCUGUUAAUUUCGGUAUCAUUGGAUCUUCCACAAUUGAACAAUAUUAGAUUGCUACAUUGUCGCAUAUUGAUAAGUUUGAACUUUAGGACUAUAUCGCUUUCUUCUAUACAAGUUUUUAGCUAUCGCGUACUCCACAUGAUCAACGUCACUUCAAAUUCACUUGAAUUAUGUUUUGCAAUUAUUCCUCGUUUCAUUCCCCAUUCUCAUGCACACUAGAGCAUAGCCCUCAAUGAUGACCGUUGUGGUGAUGCAAAAAAUAGCAUUGCAAAAGCAGGAUAACUUAACUACAUUAAGACUACAAUGCCAAUCUUUACAAGAAGUGGACCUCUCUGGGUGUGAAUCUUUGACAAAUAUUAUGUGUGAUAUUUUUAGUGAUGGUGGAGGAUGCCAUAUGUUGAAAUCACUAGUUCUUGAUAAUUGUGAGAAUGAAUGAACAAGGAAAACGGUUGAAGGAAAAUUUGUUUUCUUCACCAAACCAUCACUGUGCGUUCCUUCGCAUCUCAACUUCUCUUCCAUCCGCGCACCAUUUCUGUUUCUCUUUCCAUUCUCGUUUCUGUUUCAUUUUUUGUUUAUUUUCUUCUACAAAUUGUAAGGGUUUCAUUUGCAAAUGUUUAGGGUUCUGUUUCAACAUUUGGAUCUUGGAUUUUAGGUUUCUGUUCUUGCUAGUGUUCUCUUUUGCAUUUAGAUCUUAAUUUUCCUUUAACCUUCAUUUGCAUUUAGAUCUUAGGGUUCCUUUAACCUUCAUUUGCAGGAUUUUAGGGUUCUGUUCUUGCUAGUGUUCUUGAUCUUAAUUUUCCUUUAACCUUCAUUUGAAUUUAGAUCUUAAUUUUUCUUUCCCUUCAAAACAAGAAAAGCAAAACAAGAGCAGCAGGUAAAGGCAUGUCCCCUAUAUAUUAAUGUGAGGCAUGAGGAAAGGAACAUUUUAUCCCUCUUAUUAAGAAGAAUUUGGUAGGCAUGAGGAAGCUUCCUCAAAUGGGUAAAUCUACUGUACUAUUCCUCAAUUCUGGUACAAGUAAGCAGCAGUACCGGAAUAGUUCAUGGAAGAAAUUCCACUUGAAUUUAGCAGAUUGCAAUCUCUUGAAAAUCUUGAUCUUGGUGGAAAUUUGUUAAGCGGAGAAAUACCAAAAACACUUGUUUAGAUUUUGGAUUGUGAUUGAUGAUGUCACUGUAUGUGAUUAAGAGCAAGUUUGUUACAACAUAUUUCCUAUAAAAAUCCCUUUUGAGAAUGGUGUUUCGUAUGUCUACUUAUAUGUAUGGUGUUUGAGAUAUUCACUGUUUGAGAAUGCUCAACUGAGUAAACCUUUUAAUUUGAUUCCUAAAUUGUAUUUCAUCCUAAACUAUUGAAAUGCAAUAAAUAGUCUCUAAACUGUUCUCAUUUUACAAUGUUAAUUUCUAGUAUUAUUUUCACAAUUAAAAUUCUGAAUAACAAGUUCUUACCUGGCCCUUGAAAUUUGAAUUAGAUUGCUGCAAAUUGAAUGUGAAUGUGAUGAUUAUCACAGAUGCUGAGUUAGCAGAAGUUUCAGAAGUUCUACUUAUAUGCUUCUACUAUUGAAUCAAGUUUCAGAACUUGUUAAGACUAAGCUUCUAGCUCCAAAAAUAUUGAUUUCCCUGCCAAAUUAUUGAAGGGAAUCCUUGAAGCUCAUCUUUCCUCCUGUCCUGAAAGAGAAAAAGGAGUCUUAAAAAGACUAGUUGAACCUCUGAUGAGUCUUGUAAAGUCUUACGAGGGUGGAAGAGAGAGCCAUGCCCAUAAAAUUAUUCAAUCUCUUUUUGAAGAAUAUCUUUCAGCCGAAGAAUUAUUUAGUGACAUUAUACAGCAAGGAGCAGGAAAGCCUAAAGGACCACUUGAAGCACUCCGUCCGAAGCUGCAGCCUGCAGCUCCUUCAUAUUGAGACAAUUCAUUGCACAAAUCUCGGAAUAACAAGCAACACCAAUUUUAUAAUUCAAAUGAUGGAGGGUAAUGUGGCAGCAAAGAAGACAAACUAAUUGAUGACUUAUAAGGUUUUGUGAUUGCCAACACUUGGAAGACAUGCCAGUUAUAUUCAUCGUGCACCUCAAACUCAUUUCACUAUCAUAGCAUCUUGCAGAAUAUCACAUGCAAUUAAUAAAUAUCAUUCACACAUUCACAAAGUUGGGUAGACAUGUUACCACAUUUUACCACCUUACAUAUUCAAAGAAAAAUUCAUGCAUGUACCACAUGUUGUACACCGUGAUUAACAAGUGUCACAUGUGGCAUCACUAGAGACACCAUAUUACAAAUCAAAGAAAAUGUUGAAGCGCUUCAUUCUUCUCUUAGAAAGAGAAAGUGAAAUUCAAGCAUUGAAACAAGUCUAUACGAAUAUGACUUCUUCCCAAAAAAAAUGGAAAAAAGAAUGUCACAAAGUUGAUCACAUCUUUGAAACAAAUAGAAAAUAAAUUUGGAGCAUCAACAAUUUUGAAUGAAGAACAAGAACUUGUUGAUGUAAAAUGAGUUAUUAGAGAAGUCAUCAAAGUCAAAGUCAACCAAAUGGUUGAGAGGGGCAAAGUUGAUGAAUAAAAGGGUAACAUCAUGUGAGGACAAUUUUAAGAGUUUCAAUGAAUUGAAGGUUCUGUUAUAGUAGAAAUUCACCUAUUUAAUUGUGUUGUGUGUUCUUUAUUAUUUUUAUUAUGAUUUCACUCAAGCUUUGCUUCUUGGCGGCUUCUGUUGUGCCUGACUACAUUGAUUUUUAGUCAAACUCAUAAGAAAGUUUUCUAAAUAUUUCAUAUUUCAGUUCUAAAAAAUGUAUGUGUUUGAAUUGUUGAACGGACAACGACUAAGUGAAACCGGCAACGCGCACAAUAGAUGGAUUUAUGACCGUUUUAAGUCAACAAUAUAUUGGUGGAAUAAGUAACCUGUUUUCCUUCAAUCUUCUUCUCUCUUAUAAUAAUUUAUGUAUUUCAAUUAUAGGUGAGGUGUAAGAAAAAUGAUAGGUUAUUAUAAUGUAAGAGUUUGGGUCUAGAUAUGAAAAUUUGUGAUUUAAAAAUAAAGAAA